AAAUGCGUAAAAAGUAGUUCGUUGUGAGAAAAGAAAAUUUUCAUUCUACUGACAUUGUCAAAGUUCGCGACAACGACUACGGAAAUUUUUCGUGAAUAAAUGUAAUGUAAGGUUAUCUGAUCUUUAAAAUGAAACUUGUUGGCGAGGAUAUUUAGCAAAACUUAUAUUUCAUGGAUGUGAACGGAAAUAUCAAGCUGCACCCUGGUCAUCAACCUAUUCCUGACAUUAGUGACAUGAGCUGGAGUCGAUACAGUGCCGUAUAUUGAAGCUUGGGAGACUCACUCGUGACGAGAUUGUCCGGAAGAAGAAACGGCGUCGAACGCUAAAAAAUCGUGGGUACGACGCAACUUGCCUGAUCAAGCGGAUCGAAGAAAAAAGAAGAUAACAGGAGACUGAAAAGUCUGAAAGAGAUAAUGAUCGGCAAGGUCCAAGACGGAUGGUCAAGGCCUAGGAUGAAUACAGCAUGGAUUCUACUUAAUAAUUAUUUAUUUCUAUUUUUAUUAUGUGAACUAUUAUUUAAUUAUCUGAUUUUAUAUGUGUGCUAUUUUAGC